rnacentral:misc_RNA from 1 species
GAUGAAGAACGUAGCAAAAUGCGAUACUUGGCGUGAAUUGCAGAAUCCCGUGAACCAUCGAGUUUUUGAACGCAAGUUGCGCCCGAAGCCUUUUGGCCGAGGGCACGUCUGCCUGGGCGUCACGCAUCGCGUCGCCCCCCACAAUUCUCCGUAAAGGGAACAUGUGUUUUGGGGGUGGAUAUUGGUCUCCCGUGCUCAUGGCGUGGUUGGCCGAAAUAGGAGUCCUUUCGAUGGACGCACGAACUAGUGGUGGUCGUAAAAACCCUCGUCUUUUGUUUCGUGCUGUUGGUCGCAAGGUAAACUCUUUAAAAACCCCAAUGUGUCGUCUCUUGACGACGCUUCGACCGCGACCCCAGGUCAGGCGGGACUACCCGCUGAGUUUAAGCAUAUCAAUAAGCGGAGGA